AUGCUCAGUUUGGCACCAUAUGCACUAAAAUGGGAGUGACACAGAGAAGACUAGCAUGACUGUUGUGCAAAGGUGACACACAGAUUCAUAAAGUAUCCAUGCUUGUA